CCGAAACGUACUCCUCUCAAUUUUCACAUAUCGUGCGUAUGCUUUUAAUAUUCGAAGAGAACACGAAGGUUGGGGACAAAGAAGAUUCAAGUUAGCAUAAGGAAAAAUAAUGACUCAUAUCACACUUCUCUGUGGUCAGAUUGUGAAGUUUGUUUUUAUUUGUUGAUCUUUUGAAUCGAAAAACCUAAUCCAUGGGUUCAGCCAGUCCAAGCACGAGGAGGUGGUUGUCUUGAGUAUGUUUCUUGAUGCUUUAGUAACUAUGACUCAGGAAAUUGACCUCCGAAUUCAAAUGUCCUCAAUGAUAUCUCUCUGUCUUUUUGACUACGUCUAGGAGAAGCGUGGAAAAGAGAUUGUUUUGAAAGCAAUGGGUCAGGCAAUAAGCAAGACUUUGGCUAUCGCAGAGAUCAUUAAGAGAAGAAUUCCUCGUCUGCAUCAAGACACUGCUAUCAGCUCAGUAAGCAUCACUGAUGUAUGGGAACCUAUUGAAGAGGGCCUUUUGCCGUCAUACCGUCUGAUGUUGGAUAAUUUAGCGGGUGAAAGAUAUUAAAAUCAUGAAAAGUUGCAGAAAUCAUUAUGGCGAUUUUAAUUGUGGCUAAAUUAUUUUGUACGAAUGUAGUAACUAUUAUUAAUUCUGUACGAAUGUAGUAACUAUUAUUAAUUGUGGCUAAAUAAUUUAUAGUUGAUGUAAAAAGAUUAUCGUUAAAGAUAUUGACGUUUAGCGGCAAUUUAGUUAAACAUAUUAGCCGUGCCAUUAGAAUGGAAGCUAAAAGGGCAAACU